ensembl:snRNA U6 U6 spliceosomal RNA
GUACUCGCUUCGGAAGCACAUGUACUAAAAUUGGAAUGCUACAGAGAUUAGCAUUCUGUGCAAGGAGGGCACGCACAUUUGUGAAGCAUUCCAUAUUUUC